GGGGGAGGAGACAGGAAGGCCUGAUUCCAGGCAGAGAUGCUGAAAUGGCCUCAGAGAUGGGAAGAAGGGAAGAUUCAGAGAAGAAGACAGUGGUGGCAGGGAGCACUGUUCAGAACUGGAACUCCAUCAGGCUAUCCAAUUACAGUCUCUAUCUCAAAAAUGAAGAAAGAGCUGAGGAGAGGGUAAGCAUUUGGCCUAAUUUCACAUAGACAUUACCGGGUAGACUCAGGCUUGCGUCUAUCACUGACCAAAGGGAAGCAGCAUGUUGUAGGAAUCAUGACUGGUGGGUGGUGUCUUGGUUGCCAUGGCAGAAACCCCAUGGUGCUAAAUUCCAAACUGGAUUAGCUAAUACUCUUGAGAUUAUUCAGCUUCCAAACUGUGGGUCUGCAGUCCUACAACUCAGAGUCCCCAGAUAUACCCUGAUGAACCGUACGAGGCUCAACUAAAGGCAAGCAUGGAUAGACAAUGGCGAAUAAACCAGAUAAAUGAGUACCUGGCAAUCACUUUCUCCCUGUUCCGAAGUUGCACUCAGCUGUCGAAAUAAGAGAAUGACUUCGUGUUUUCUGGAAAGGAAACACAACAGGAAACAAUUUCAAAACUCUGAAUUGGAUUAAAAUUGCAGUAACUAAGGGUAACAUGAUGAUCUUUUCACUUACUUAUUAAAAGUUCUGAGCAAUAAAGAAACUGAGAAAUAAGUAUUUAAUUAACCUUUGGCACUAUAAAAAUUAUGUCAGAAAACAGAGGUUAAAACUAGUUCUUCAAAUGUUCAGAGACCUAUAGAUUAUCCCUAAUUUUAUACAUGAAAGAAAGUAAAAUGGAUGGCAUUAACCACAUGUACUUUCAAUGAUUAAUAAUUACAUCCAUGCUUUGUUUUUUUUCACUCAUUGCUUCAUCCCACCUCCUCUCAUAGACGCUGAUGGUUAACUAGGAGCCAGCACCACACAACACAAACAUGGACCCUUCCAGCAUGCAAGGUGCAUGUACAGAUUAAAACAAAACCAAAAACAGUUGCAUGCCCAAGAAGAUGACAGUCUUAGCAGAACAAAGACGGCUGGAAUAAAACUCUGCAGAAUUGUGUAAUACUUGUUAUACUGGAUUUAGCCAAGUUAUUUUAUAUCUUCAUCUUGAAACAUGCUAAAUUUUUGUGAGCAUGGUUUCCUAUGGUUAAGAUAAAACUGUAUCACAAAGAUCACUUCCUCUAAGAGGAUGUGUGAUUCAAGUUUGAGGAAUGUAAUCUCAUAUCGAAUACUCUGUUUUUGUAGACUGUGGAUCUAAGAAGACAUCUUAAAAUACGCUAAGUAGAAGUAAAAACAUUGGGAGGGAAAGAAUGACCCCCAAACUAAAGUCUCAGAAAAAAUAUCCACUGAGGUUAAACCAAGGCAGCUUUUUUUUUUCCCCCUCUUUAGGGCAAGAGUUUAAAAGAGAAAAGAAAGCUAUUUCUUAGAAAGAAAUGAAAUGCCAAGCACUGCUAGAAAGACCAAAGGGAAAUAGUAAGCUGACAACAAGCAGGGUGGGUGGUCCCUCCAUGACCUGCCACGCCAGACACAUCAGACACGCCGGACUCUCAAGACGCCAGCAAGACAAGAGCCCCAGCCCCCAUCCCACCUCACAAGGCCCCUGGCCAUGUGGUCUAAGAGCCUCCUGCUGGGACCUGUGAGAGAAAGGUGCAGCAGAAGGUGAGGGAGAGUCACAGGUUAAGAGCAAAAGGGGAGAGUUCACAUUUACCAAGAGUCUGCUUUCGACAAAGGCAAUGGAAAUUCUCUCCUCUUUGCCCUUUGCUAGGAAAUUCCCCAUUCUGAACUUCUAAGCAUUACAGCUCAGCAAGCCGGAUGGGUUCUGGAAAGUUUCCACACCAGCCUGAAAACCCAUCAUUUAUGAAACCAGGAAGAUGCAUUUCAAGCUCUCAACCACUGCAUCAGAAACAAGUGUCUGGGAAAAGCACCCGUUCCAAAGGGGAGAAAUAACUAUUUUUGAGAUGCCGCUAAGUCUAAUAAACACUUACUGAUAAACCUCUGCACUAUAUACAAAAGCAAAGAUGAAGAGGCCCCAUUCAGGAGACCAAGUCACCAAUAUAUACAGAGACACAAGUAAUAAUAAAUGUACAGGCUGUGACUAGUGUAUGGAAAAGAGCAUGAGGGCACCAUACUUAAUAGUUCUCCACAGCUCUUGGGCUAAAACCCAAGCCACCUUGCAUGGUUUGACAAGCUCCCACCCCUGGGGGAGUCAUACCUCAUCAUGCAUCUCAUCACCCUCACCUGCCAUCAGAAGCUGGACUUCUCUGUGCCUCUACCACACUGUUUUGUUUCGUAAGAGGCUAAACAACUAACAUAGAAAUGAGUAUCUAGGGAGUGCCUCUUGUGGCUCGGCAGGUUAAAAACCCAAUAUGGCAGGUUAACAACCCAACAUAGUGUCUGUGCAGGCACAAGUUCGAUCCCUGGACUCAGUGAGUUAAGGAUCUGGCAUUGCCUCAAUCUAUAGAUAGGAUCUGGCAUUGCCUCAAUCUAUAGAUCUGGCAUAGAUCACAGAUGCAGCUCGGAUCCGGUGUUGCCCAGGCUGUGGUGUAAGCCUGCAGCUGCAGCUUUGAGUCCAUCCCUAGCCUGGGAACUUCCAUAUGCCACAGGUGCAGCAGUGAGAAGAAAAAAA
ensembl:lncRNA